rnacentral:rRNA from 1 species
GACGAACGCUGGCGGCGUGCUUAACACAUGCAAGUCGAACGGUGAAGCGCCUUCCUUUUUGGUGGGUGUGGAUGAGUGGCGAACGGGUGAGUACACGUGAGUAACCUGCCCCCUUCUUCUGGAUAACCGCAUGAAAGUGUGGCUAAUACGGGAUAUUCUGGGUCUGUCGCAUGAUGGGUCUGGGAAAGAUAUUGUUUCGGUGGGGGAUGGGCUCGCGGCCUAUCAGCUUGUUGGUGGGGUGAUGGCCUACCAAGGCGGUGACGGGUAGCCGGCCUGAGAGGGUGGACGGUCACACUGGGACUGAGACACGGCCCAGACUCCUACGGGAGGCAGCAGUGGGGAAUAGUGCACAAUGGGCGCAAGCCUGAUGCAGCGACGCCGCGUGAGGGAUGGAGGCCUUCGGGUUGUGAACCUCUUUCGCCAGUGAAGCAGGCCUGCCUCGUUUGUGGGUGGGUUGACGGUAGCUGGAUAAGAAGCGCCGGCUAACUACGUG